rnacentral:lncRNA from 1 species
CAUAAAGCCGUGGAUUGUUGGCUAAGGGAGGUGACUGUUGCUCGGGGAUUAGCUGAGUAUUACUGGGAGUCAGCUGGCAGGUGUAAGAAGGUCUAGCAGGACAAGUAUUAGCCAUCCAGGAAAAUUCAAAGAAGCACAGCUAUCUACAAGCCAUUUAAAAAUGCCUAGAAAGCCUUGGACAAGAAGAUCUUUCUGCAGGCAUUUGAAGGAAGGAGUUGAAAGAAGAAAACAGAGUGACUUUUCAGAUGUUUCCAGAAGAAUUUUAUUCAAAGAAGGUCAUGAUAUGGGAGAAGAUAGACCUGUAUUGAUACAUUAAUCUAAAACAGCAGGAACUAUGAAUAAUAAUAAUAAAACAAAUCUCCUUG